GAACUUCGUUCCUUCUUGUAGAUGUAACCAUCAUGACUUCUGUGCAUUUUUGUCAGAAAUUGAAUAUUAUGACUCAUUCUAUCAAAUAGAAGUGUGAUGGUCUAGCAGUCAUAAAAUUUUAUUUCAAUUUUUUGAGCUCAAGGCUGACGUUGAACUGUUUCUGAAAAAUACACUAAGCCCUGUUAUUGAACACUGGAUGGCUUUGGAAAUUUGCUUUUGCUGCAAAAUUGAUAAAUUUCUGUGUUCAACUUAGAAGCUCCACAUAUAAGGUAAAACUGUGCUUACAUAUGGAAUUUAUAAGUUCUACCAUGGAACUUAAAGUCAUUUCAAUGACAAUGUUUAUCACAAAUAAUUUCAAGCUACUUUAUAUGCUUCCUAUGCUGUCAAUAGUUAAGUAGUGAGCUCCUCAUUCCCACACAGAUUUUCAGUUGAUAUAUUUUCCAAGCUCAGACUAUAGUAUCAACCUAAUUUUUCAGACUUUGAAGCAAGUACAAAAGACAUAUACAUAUUUCAAAAUUUAUUUAACUGUGUAAUUGAAGAGUUAAUAUCCAACUUUCAUCUGCAAUGUAUGAUGUAUAACAUGCUAAAAGGCAAAUGUCUAGAGAAGUCUCAAACUCAAUUCUAUAAGUAUCCUCUAAGUGAUGAAUAUCAUCAAUUAAAAACAUUCUCAUUGUUUGAUAUCAGUACGUAUUUGUAUUUCCUAUCUGUGCAAAAAUAUAUUACUAAAAUGAAAUACAUAAAAUCAUAUUACAGAUCAGCAUUAACAACAGGACAUUUGCAAUUGAUUUGGAUCAUUUGGAAUACUAACUUUGAAUCCCAAUUGAGUGAAAUAUUUUCCCCCCAAAGAGAAUUCCAUUAUUCUCAUCAGUAGACCUGUAUUAUUACAUUCAAUUAUUUGAAUUUUAUCAAUAAGGGUUUUGUAGAAAUUUGUUUUUUAUUGUUCUGUUAGCACUACACAUUAUCCUUAAUUUUGCCUUUUGACUUACAAAGCCUUAUUUACUGUCUGGCACUUUACAGGAAAAAAAGCUUGCCAACCCUUGAUUUAGGCCAGUAAAAAAUACCAGUUGAGACUUAUUUGAAAUCUUUACAUUGUAUUGAUUUUCUUCUUUGAAUGAACAAGAGAAAUUUAUUUCUCUUUAGCUUGAAAAUAUCCAGUUUACUGUUGCCUCUUUCUGGCUAAAAGAAUGUUUUUUUGCCUUUGAAUAUAAAUUGUUAUUUACGACUUUAGAAUGUACUUAUAUAUGGUUAAUUUCAACAACUACCUUUAUCAUCAGCUCUGAAUGUCAGAACUUUCUCUUUGUGAAAUUUUAUCCUAGUCAUGUAAGCAUUAGCUGUAGCAGAGGUUAUGCUAGCAGAAGUAGAGUAAGUUUGGAGGAGGAGUAUAAAUGCUUCCUCUUCUCUUGCUAUGCAGCCUAUCGAUUGCCCUUAAUUAUUUCUACAUAGUUUGGCAAUGAGCUAUACUGCUAGAAAAGCCUUCUCUCUACCUAGACUUUUGACUCUGAUAUUAGAAACUACCAGGAACCUUGCUCAGAAAUGUGAUUAUUCAUUCCAUAGGUGGCAGAUCAGGCUCAAGUAUAUCUACAGGAUUUUAAUACUGUAAUGUGUAGCCCCAUUAUUGAGUCGAUUACAGCUAGAAGAACUGAUUUGAAUGCCCGCAGAGCUUUGCCAGAAUUCAACGUUAGCUUUUGGCUAGACUCCAGGAGCCAGUGGUGUACUUUGGCCAUCUGUUCUGCUUCCUCACCUUCAGUUCUUCCCAAACUGUGGGGCAACAAUUUGGUGCAUUUUGAUUAAUGAUAGGUUUAGCAAUGGGUGAUGGCUUAGUCUUUCAGGUAGCUAAAUGUGACAAGAUAAGUAGAGCUCAACUUUAAUAAGCUUCUGAAUACUCUGAGAUUCGAGUGAUGAAGAGAAUGUGAAAUCACAUAAGGAACAAAGUUCAGAAGGAGCUAACAUGUAUAGAGCAGUAGGCAUGGUGUGAGGUGCUUUAUGUGUAUCAUUUUAUUAUAGCAAAAAAUCCAGGGGGAAGUUGCUACCAUGCUUAUUUUAUAGGUGGAACUCAGAGUUCAAGUAAUUACAGUAGCAGGUAGUAUGUUAAAAGCCAAGUCCAUCUGUCUUCAAUACUUGUAUUCUUAUGAUAUAGUUGACACAAGUAGAGACUAUAGCAAAAGUAGAAGCAGCUAAUAAUAAAAUAGUAGUUUGGGUCACCUCUGACUUUAGUGUCAUCAUAUUGUGUUUUACUGGGGAGCCAAUUAUUUGGUUCAGACUUAUUUUCUGGGAAUGGAAACUGCAGAGAUAUUCUGAUAACCUACUUUGGUUGUAGUAAGUUCUAGAAAGAUGCUCUCUUGACUUUGUGUUAGCAGAAACAAACAAGGGCACUUUUGUGUGUAUGGGACCAAAUUAAAAAUUUAAAGUUUAUUUAAAUACUUUUAUAAAUGUGAUUUAUGGCAGAGAAGACUUUAAGACUCUCCAUGGACCUAAGAACAAGCAGUAAGAAAGGAGAAGUAUUAAUGCAGAGUAUAGAAACGGUGAAAUAAUCUUAAGAUGUACAUUGGUCACUGUAUCAGUCCAUUCUUGCAUUGCUGUAAAGGAAUACCUGAGACUAGGUAAUUUAUAAAGAAAAGCAGGUUAAUUUAAUUAACCUCAUGGUUCCUCAGGCUGUACAGGAAGCAUGAUGCUGACGUCUGCUCGGUUUCUGGGGAGACCUUUCAAUCAUGGUGGAAGGUGAGGGGGAAGCAGGCACAUCUUGCAUGGCCAGAGCAAGAGCAAGAGACACUGAAGGGGGAGGUGCUAUACGCUUUUAAAUAGCUAGAUCUUGCAAAAACUCACUAACCAUCAUGAGAACAGCACCAGGAAGUGGUGCUAAACUAUUCAUGAGAGCUCUGCCCCUAUGAUCCAAUCACCUCCCACCAGGUCCCACCCUCCAACACUGGGGAUCACAAUUCGAUGUGAGAUUUAGGUUGGGACAUAGAUCCAAAACAUAUCAGUCACACUUUGAAUAAUGUCUAUUUUUGGAUUGUAAAUUUAAAAAUGACAAGAACUAUAACAAAGGAAAACUGCAACACUUGACAAUAGGUUGUAAAACAAAAACCAAACUCACAACUGAUAAAUUAAUUCUCUGAUCUAUUCAUUGAACUUUUAAUUCACUAUAUGGCAGCAUAUUUGCCAGGCACUGGGGAUACAUAGAUGAAGAAGACAUGGUUUUUGUCCUAAUCUCUAUUAAGUCUCAGUUUCUCACCCAUAAAAUCAUAAUACUUAGCUCAACUUAUUUUGCGUGUGUGUGAGGUUUAAAUAAGAAAAUACAUUAAAUUCAUAUAAAGCACUUGGCUACAUAGUUAGGAGCUCAACUAACACAAUGGUAAAGGAGACAGAAAUUAACAGUGAUUAUAUUGUAAUUGAGGUUUCUACAAAUGCUAUAUGGUUAACGCCUGAGAGCAAAUGGCAUUGAAUCCUGAAGAAACCUGAAUGAAAUUAGAAAAAUGUGAUUUUUGGAAUUGAAAACUUAGAAUAGUUCAAAAUGUAUCUCACUAAACACAUACUUUAUUCAGAGAUAUUGUUAAGGAUAUGACAGUUUUAGUAAGAUCUAAUGUAUUUGUCAAAGAGUAGUUCUUCAAUCCUUCUGUUCUACCAGGACAGCAAUUUGAGACCUUGAGAUUUGGGUUCUAAGCCUGGUUUUUAAGCAUCUAACCUUUAGCAAAUUCAUUUUUUUUUGCCUCAGCCUCCUUAUAUAAAAUGAGGAUAAUAGUACUUCCUUCAUAGGGUAGUACUUACCAUGUCUGGCUUUACCAAGCCAGAUCACUGGCUUUACCAAGUGAUCAGUGAAGGGAAAUUAUAAUAAUGGUUUUUAAUAAUGUAGUAAUAUUAAGUAGUCAGGUAGUAUUCCCUGACUGCUGCUUGAUUAUAGUCUUUGCCAUGGUCUUUUGCUUUAAUCUUUCCAACUAAGGGGAAAAUGGAAAGGUUAGUUUUCUAUGGCAUAUUUUUUUUUUCUGCCAAAUGAGAAUGGGAGAUGUUUACCAAUAUACAGUAAUCCUGUGCCUCUCUGGAGGGCCAUGUGAUACAUUUUGGUUACCUGCAAAAAAAGAUAACUUUCUGAAUUUUCUGGCCAACACAGUUAAUUUCUGUUUUAUUGACAAUAUAUGGAAUAUGUUUACUGUAGUAUGAGAUAUUUAGGAUAAACAUUAGAAAGAAUUUCCUGAUAUGAUCCUAGAAUUGAUAUAAAAUCUCUCCUAUGGUCUUUAAAAUGGCAUAUAUGUAUACAUAUAUGGCAUAGUUAGGCUUUGACCUAUUUGAU
rnacentral:lncRNA from 1 species